CACGUACUUCCUCCAUUCCGAAUUACUUGUCGCAAGUAUGGAUGUAUCUAGAUGUAUUUUAGUUUUAGAUACAUCCAUUUCUGGGACGAGUAAUUUGAAACAGAGGGAGUAGUAU
rfam:Triticum aestivum genome assembly, contig: Triticum_aestivum_CS42_TGACv1_scaffold_147189_2BS